CCUACGGGGGGCAGCAGUCGGGAAUAUUGCGCAAUGGAGGAAACUCUGACGCAGUGACGCCGCGUAUAGGAAGAAGGUUUUCGGAUUGUAAACUAUUGUCGUUAGGGAAGAUAAAAGACAGUACCUAAGGAGGAAGCUCCGGCUAACUACGUGCCAGCAGCCGCGGUAAUACGUAGGGAGCAAGCGUUAUCCGGAUUUACUGGGUGUAAAGGGAGCGUAGACGGCGCGGCAAGUCUGAAGUGAAAGGCAGGGGCUUAACCCCUGAACUGCUUUGGAAACUGCCAUGCUAGAGUGCUGGAGAGGUA
rnacentral:rRNA from 1 species